AUGUGAUCUGAGAAGGGAGUUUGGACUAGGCCACUAGAGACAGGUGCUUAUAAUAAAGGGGUCUUACAUGAGUUAUUCAACAGGGCCAUAACCCUCUGAGAAGACAUGUCUAAUAACUAUUAACUUGAUUUAUUAAGGCUUUUCAUACGUGUCUAUGUGACCGCCCAAAUUUGUUGGGUAGAAGUGUGUUAUGCAUCUAGUAAUAGCUAUGUAAUAGCUAUUCUCAUUCUCAAGGAUACUCAUUCACACUUAUUUAAAGAUCCCGAUCAGACUACAACUAACCUACCAAAAAGUAGCCUAUAAAGAUGACAGUCGCACUAUAAUGCCGCUAGACAACCAGUUAUGACACAUUUGGGACACAUUAUUAACUGGUCGUGCGGUAGGCCUGUGUGACGUCACAAAGGAUUCAAUGUCAUAGUGACUAUGGCAAUUUUGAUUUGUUCAUAAUCAAUAUCCUAAACUUCAACCUGGGUCACACAGCAUCAGCUUGUUGAAAAAGGGAUUGUUUGUGGAGCUGCUACCAGCAGUCAGUCUGAUAGAGGAAGAGGCUGUAACAGGAUCUCUGUUGGACAAACAGCAGACGGUGAAGUGCGUACACACAGCAUGGGGAAAACACAAAGUUGGUGACAUAUCCCGCAAUGAUGCCUCACGUAGGGCAGAUGAGAGGGGCAAUGAAAAAGGAGAGGUGUGACAGGGGCGGCUGGUGGAUGGGUACCUUGAAAGUAGGUGUUUUCAGUGAGGGGAAGACAACUGGCAGAAACGCCCAUGCCUGGAGAGUCGCCCAGAUGUAGAUGCAGAAGGGGGACCUGCUGCUACUGGGAGCCUACGGCUUUUACUUUACAUUUAUUUAACUAGGCAAGUCAGUUAAGAACAAAUUCUUAUUUUCAAUGACAGCCUAGGAACAGUGGGUUAACUGCCUGUUGAGAACAACAGAUUUGUACCUUGUCAGCUCAGUGAUUUGAACUUGCAACCUUUCGGUUACUAGUCCAACACUCUAACCACUAGGCUUCACUGAAUCCACCCAGGAGGUCCUCCAACGUCAGGCCUCCUACUCCUUUAUGAACUGCCCCCGGCCAAACAACUCACCCUGGGCAGUCCGCGACAA